GGGCCGCAGCAGGAGGGGGGACAUAUCCUGGGGUGGGGGGUGGGGCGGGAGAGGGAUGAAAAGCAGCUCCAAUCCACGGGUCUGGUACAGCCAUGGAGUGUCCCGCCUUCUGUCAAGAUUGCUCAUAGCUGACACAGAUGGCCACGCUCCAGAGGCAGUAGCUCAGCACGACUGGUUCUGGUUUUCUUCAACAAGAAACGUACCCAGGACGCUCCUGGGCUUUGGUGUGAGAGAAAUAGACAAGGGCACCGUAGAGAGGCCGGAGGAGGAUGGUUAUACCUGAAUUACAGCCACUUUAAAAGUUUCAUCUGCCCAGAAGGAAAGACAGAGUAAUAUUAAGUAGACGUGCAAUAAGCUGGACCUGUCGGAGUUCUCACGUUGUGUAUGGUUCCAUUCCAAAAGCACCCCAUUCAGCACGGGACUGUAUCCCCUCCUUAGAAACGGGAGUGCAGAAGACUACCAGGCCGGCGGGUGGGGUGUGGGUUCAGAUUCUCACUCUUCUGCCGAAAACAUCUCUCAGAGCCAAGUGGAAAUUUUUUGGGUACUUACGAAGCCUGGAUUUAUAUUAGGAGAGGAAAGAAUGAUGGCGUUAAGGGAAACAUGGAACAUUUCUUGGUGACAGAGAAUUAAGGCUUCCCUGUCCUCGACUGUCAGAAUUUCCAUGACACGCCCUUUAUUUGAGGUCUUGUUUUCUACCAAGCACUGAAACCUCAUGGUAGACUAAACCCGAUCUGUAAACAUCUCAGUAUUGGAACAGUAUUAAUAGUCAAAUCUAAUUGAGAUUACUGAGGCUACAUUAAAAACAGAAAAAGCCCUCUGUUAAAUUAUACAAAGUGGAAAAUGGUUUCUGGAAAUAGGUUUCUAU